rnacentral:rRNA from 1 species
GAUGAACGCUGGCGGCGUGCUUAACACAUGCAAGUCGAACGGAAAGGCUCCUGCUUGCAGGGGUACUCGAGUGGCGAACGGGUGAGUAACACGUGGGUGAUCUGCCCUGCACUUCGGGCUAAGCCUGGGAAACUGGGUCUAAUACCGGAUAGGACGAUGGUUUGGAUGCCAUUGUGGAAAGUUUUUCGGUGUGGGAUGAGCUCGCGGCCUAUCAGCUUGUUGGUGGGGUAAUGGCCUACCAAGGCGUCGACGGGUAGCCGGCCUGAGAGGGUGUACGGCCACAUUGGGACUGAGAUACGGCCCAGACUCCUACGGGAGGCAGCAGUGGGGAAUAUUGCACAAUGGGCGCAAGCCUGAUGCAGCGACGCCGCGUGGGGGAUGACGGCCUUCGGGUUGUAAACUCCUUUCGCUAGGGACGAAGCGCAAGUGACGGUACCUGGAGAAGAAGCACCGGCUAACUACGUG